GGUAAGAGUGGCGUGUUUUUGAGGGUUAGGGUUAGGGUUAGGUAAGAGUGGUGUGUUUUUGAGGGUUAGGGUUAGGGUUCGGUAAGAGUGGCGUGUUUUUGAGGGUUAGGGUUCGGUAAGAGUGGCGUGUUUUUGAGGGUUAGGGUUAGGUAAGAGUGGUGUGUUUUUGAGGGUUAGGGUUAGGGUUCGGUAAGAGUGGCGUGUUUUUGAGGGUUAGGGUUAGGUAAGAGUGGCGUGUUUUUGAGGG